rnacentral:tRNA from 1 species
GGGGCCAAGAUUCAGUGGUAGAGCAUCUGUGUUGCACACAGGAGGCCCUGGGUUCAAUCACCAGCAUCUCCC